GAUGGCACUGUGAUAAACUGCAUCCAGUUUUCUGAGUAGAGUGUUGGAAGCAAUUUUGUAGAUGACAUCGCCAAAGUCGAGGAUCGGUAGGAAUGUCGUAAAUGGAGAUGAUAUUGAGUUUUUUAAACAAAGGUGCAGAUGGAGCCAGGUAAUUAGAGAGGGUGGAUAGUCUUGCAAAUACAUUUUUUGUAUGAUGAGUCAGUUGUGUAGGUGGCCCAGACAAUAUUAUUACAGUAAUUGAGAUAUGGAUAAAUUAAACUAUAGUAUAGAGUUAGGAAGCAAGCCUGAUGAACCAAAUCACAAAUCUUUCUGAUGAAACCAACAUAUUUCAACACUGCUACAGACAAAUUGAAUAUGAUCUUUCCAGUAUGACUUUUCAUCAAUUAGAACUCAGAGGAAUCUAGUGGAUGUGACGUGUUAAGAUUUCAUUCCCAACAAUUGAGAGCCUCUUAUAUAAUUUUUUAAAUAUUUUUUUUAUUCUUAUACUUACUAGUGAAUACAAUAAAGUUCCAUUUUUUUUUGCAUUUGAAGAUCAUUUGUUUACCUGGAACCAUUCAGAAAAUGUGUCCAUACCCCAGUUUGCUUCAUUAAACAUUUUUGUGUGGUAAAAUCAAAUUGAGGUCAUCAGCAAAGAAAAUGGGAAGUACUUUAGAAGACAUAGCAGCAAGUGUAACCUAUGUGAAAUGGCUAGCUAGUUAGCGAUGCGCGCUAGUAGUGCUUCAAUCGGUGACGUCACUCGCUCUGAGGCCUUUAAGUAGUUGUUUCACUUGCUCUACAAGGGCCGUGGCUUUUGUGGAGCGAUGGGUAAUGGUGCUUUGAUGGUGACCGUUGUGAAUGUGUGCAGAGGGUCUCUGGUUCGAACCUAGGUAGGGGCGAGGAAAGGGACGGAAGCAAUACUGUUACACAAGGUCAUUGAUAUAGAUUAUGAAAAACAAAGGUCCACUUAUUGAUCCCUACGGCACACCAAAGGAUAUCAACAAAACAGGCUCUAAGUUCAAACUGUGACCCACAUUCCCUCAGUAACACUUCAUUUAAGGAGUCCUUUUGACAGUGUAAUAACGUGCAAUUACACUGUAACAAGUAUUGCAGUUAAUUUGAAACGACUCAAAGUUACACUGUGAUAACAACAUGUAACUGGUGGUAAUUGUGGUCUGUAAUUACAGAGGUGUUACACUAAAUGCUUGUCAACAUGCUUGUUACAAAAUUGCAAAGUUCCAUUAAAUUCACCAAUCUAUAAUUUGGUUUAUUCUCAGCUGCAUCUGAUAUGGCGAAAACGGGAUUGUCUUUUUCUUCCCUUUUUAACAUUACAAGUCAGAAUAUAAAUUGACAAAAUAUUAACUAUUAAAAAUGCAACAUAGGG